CAACUUGAUGAAGAUGAUAUUGUGUCUUAUAUUCUUAUUGGGCUUGAUUCUAAAUAUAAUCCACUUAUUGAGGUUGUAAGUGCAAGAAUUGACCCUAUUAGCUUGAGUGAUCUUUAUGCUCAACUUCUAUCCACUGAGG